rnacentral:rRNA from 1 species
UACGAAGGGUGCUAGCGUUGUUCGGAAUCACUGGGCGUAAAGCGCGCGUAGGCGGCCAAUCAAGUCAGAGGUGAAAUCCCACAGCUUAACUGUGGAACUGCCUUUGAAACUGUAUGGCUAGAGUGUCGGAGGGGAUGGCGGAAUUGCUAAUGUAGAGGUGAAAUUCGUAGAUAUUAGCAGGAACACCGGUGGCGAAGGCGGCCAUCUGGACGACAACUGACGCUGAGGCGCGAAAGCGUGGGGAUCAAACAGG